AUACUUACCUGGCAGGGGAGAUACCAUGAUCAUGAAAGUGGUUUUCCCAGGGUAAGGCUCACCUAUUGCACUCCAGGUGUGCUGACCCUUGCGAUUUCUGCAAAUAUGGGAAACUAAACUGCAAAAUUUGUGGUAGUGAGGGACUAUGUUUGUGCUGUCCUCUG